GGCGGUAUAGCUCAAGUGGCAGAGUAUGUGUUUGGCAGGCACAAACUUCUGGGUUCAACCCCCAGUACCUCCU
rnacentral:tRNA from 1 species